UAUAAACGUCAAUGACAUCGAACGUCAUGGUUACAACGUCGGGCAUGUUUUGUCAAAGAGUGCCACUUUCGGAUGUGUAAUGCCAACAUCUAGCCAGGCGCUCAUACUUAAGAAAGGCGUACUGACGGAGGAUGAAGAGCGACCGACGUCGUCGGGACAUAAGAUUAUUUUUCACUUACAACGCAAUUAUUUGAAAUUAACGCAAAAUUAUUUGAAAUUAACGCAGUGUUUUUGUCACGCGUUUUCAUGUAAUAUGUUUGCCUCAUUUUAAUAAAUGUCCGCCCCUUCAAAUUGUAUGAUCGUUUUCUUCUUCAAUAAUUAAGCUACGUUACUAUGUUUUUCACACUGUUUUCUGCCUCUUAAGCCGGUCCAGCCCUCUUGGUUUCAGUGACGCGGCAACGCCGGAUGAUCUAGCUGGCCAGGACGCCAAUGUCAUGCGCAGUGACAACAUCGACCGGAUCGCUCCAAGUCUGCACAUUCGCAGUGACGACAUCGACCGGAUCGCCCCAAGUCUGCACAUGCACAGUGACAACAUCGACAGGAUCGCCCCAAGUCUGCACAUGCGCAGUGACAACAUCGACCGGAUCGCCCCGAGUCUGCACAUGCGCAGUAACACACCACCUAGUCGUCCGAACGCCGCAGUUUUCAGUUUCCGGAACAACGCAAACGUGUCCCACUCGAAGGUGCAGUACCUAAUACAGACUCAACUCCAUGUUCCGGUGCGAAGUAUCCAGUUUGAUCCCCUCGAUAUCCGGUCAUCGCGACCAGGUGUCGAAUCCCGCUGGGUCGUCAAAUUUUGUACUACAGCGGAUGUGGCAAAACCUAAACAUGUCGGGACUUCUGGUGGACACGGACCGGCUGGUGUUUGACCAGCACGAUGACGUCACUAGGCGCAAAACCGCGGCGUAUAGAAACUACAUGGAGGUUGUUAACGCCCAUGCCGUGAUAGCGGCGUCUGCCGAUAACGCAGUGCGCGGGAAACUUAAACGCGCAGUUUCCAGCGGUCGAUGUCACUCAAGACAUUAAAGAUAUUAUGAAGAUAACUAAAUGCAAGUGACUUUUUGAAACUAUGUGACUAUGUCGUUAUGUUAAUUAAGGUUGUUUGGGAUAUGUACACUAGCAUGUACCAACAGUGACUCGAUUAGUAGAAUACUUACAUAAACGCCAUUUAAUUUCAAACAUCCACAAUACGCUUCCCUUUUGUUGUCGAAGUUUUUCUUUGUUUUGAAUACUUAGUAAUAGAAUACAUGUAUUGAUAAUACUUACUUUUAACAUAUUGAAUCAUUCCCCACUUCAAACACAAAGUUAUAUCAUGUAUACAUAAAACAUAUUUAGAACAAAUAUU